rnacentral:rRNA from 1 species
GAUGAACGCUGACAGAAUGCUUAACACAUGCAAGUCAACUUGAAUUUGGGUUUUUAACUUAGGUUUGGGUGGCGGACGGGUGAGUAACGCGUAAAGAACUUGCCUCACAGCUAGGGACAACAUUUGGAAACGAAUGCUAAUACCUAAUAUUAUGAUAAUAGGGCAUCCUAUAAUUAUGAAAGCUAUAAGCGCUGUGAGAGAGCUUUGCGUCCCAUUAGCUAGUUGGAGAGGUAACGGCUCACCAAGGCGAUGAUGGGUAGCCGGUCUGAGAGGGUGAUCGGCCACAAGGGGACUGAGACACGGCCCUUACUCCUGCGGGAGGCAGCAGUGGGGAAUAUUGGACAAUGGACCGAGAGUCUGAUCCAGCAAUUCUGUGUGCACGAUGAAGUUUUUCGGAAUGUAAAGUGCUUUCAGUUGGGAAGAAACAAAUGACGGUACCAACAGAAGAAGUGACGGCUAAAUACGUG